GACGAACGCUGGCGGCGUGCUUAACACAUGCAAGUCGAACGGUGAAGGGACCGGUUUUUGCUGGUUCUGGAUGAGUGGCGAACGGGUGAGUAACACGUGAGUAACCUGCCCCCUUCUUCUGGAUAACCUCAUGAAAGUGUGGCUAAUACGGGAUAUUCUGCGCCUGCUGCAUGGUGGGUGUGGGAAAGAUAUUGUUUCGGUGGGGGAUGGGCUCGCGGCCUAUCAGCUUGUUGGUGGGGUGAUGGCCUACCAAGGCGGUGACGGGUAGCCGGCCUGAGAGGGUGGACGGUCACACUGGGACUGAGACACGGCCCAGACUCCUACGGGAGGCAGCAGUGGGGAAUAUUGCACAAUGGGCGCAAGCCUGAUGCAGCGACGCCGCGUGAGGGAUGGAGGCCUUCGGGUUGUAAACCUCUUUCGCCAGUGAAGCAGGCCUGUCCCUUUUGUGGGUGGGUUGACGGUAGCUGGAGAAGAAGCGCCGGCUAACUACGUG
rnacentral:rRNA from 1 species